rnacentral:rRNA from 1 species
UACAGAGGUCUCAAGCGUUGUUCGGAAUUACUGGGCGUAAAGGGCUCGUAGGCGGCCAACUAAGUCAGACGUGAAAUCCCUCGGCUUAACCGGGGAACUGCGUCUGAUACUGGAUGGCUUGAGAUUGGGAGAGGGAUGCGGAAUUCCAGGUGUAGCGGUGAAAUGCGUAGAUAUCUGGAGGAACACCGGUGGCGAAGGCGGCAUCCUGGACCAACACUGACGCUGAAUAGCGAAAGCCAGGGGAGCAAACGGG